UUGCAUGGGAUACAAGAUAAUAGCUCUAGUAUGGAUGGGAGGUCGGCCGGUCGGGAGUGGAGCGAUAAGGCAAAAGGUGGCUGAUCGGUGGAGUUGAGAAAGUCCAGUUACAAGAUUGAAUAGCGAAUGAACGUUAAAGGGAGUAUUAAAAGGUAAUUAAUGACCUUAAUAGGUGAAUAUUAAGAGAAACAGAAGAUACAAAAUUUAUAAACAGUUAAUGGUAAUUGUUAGGAAUAAUGUCUAUAAAUAUAAGAUUGAUUACCAGGUUAAACUAUCUUUUGUCUAAUCAGAUUCACUUUGACCUUUUUGAGAUCUAUUUG
rnacentral:lncRNA from 1 species